GAAUAAAUAAAAGGGAAUAAAAAAAAGAAAAAGGAAAAAAACGCUGUAAACACACGAUGCUCUCAAUCUCUCUCAAAGCCCUCAAACUCGCACCUCUCUCUCUAUCGCGUCUCACUCUCUAUCGCAUCUCACUCUCUCUGAAUCGCAUCUCACUCUCUGCAAACAAACGUGGCUGAAAAGAGAGAGGAGUUCACCUCCGGUGACGACAACGACGAGCUCAGUAUCCCCUUUAUAUACCCAGCUUAUUAGGGUUUUCAAUUCAGCUUAUGGAGAUCAAAAUGGCAUGCUCUUGGGAGUGCUUUAAGGGGUUCAGAUUGUUUGCCUCAAAUCGGUACUCAAGCUGAAGAGUAAAUUCGGGUUGGAGGGUUCAUUGUCUUUGGUUGGGUCAAUGUAACUUCGAAUUUCAACGGCCUUUCCACCAACUUCAUUAGCAGAAACAGGAGGUAUAGAAGCAGGUUCGGUUGCAAUGAUAGUGAUUUCUUGAAGAGAUGACUGAAAAUUAGCAAGUAACCUGUUCAGAUCUCGAGGCCUCACGACAAAGUUGCUUGGAAAUUCUGCCUUUCGGAGCAUCCG